rnacentral:rRNA from 1 species
GACAGAGGGUGCAAACGUUGUUCGGAAUUACUGGGCGUAAAGCGUGCGUAGUCGGUAUUGAGAGUCGCGGGUGAAAUCCCAGGGCUUAACCCUGGAACUGCCUGCGAGACCUCAGUACUAGAGUGUGAGAGGGAUAGUGGAAUACCCAGUGUAGCGGUGAAAUGCGUAGAGAUUGGGUGGAACACCGGUGGCGAAGGCGGCUAUCUGGCUCACAACUGACGAUCAGGCACGAAAGCGUGGGGAGCAAACAGG